CCGAUCCUCUCCGUGGGAGCCAGCGAGCCUCUCUCCCUGAUCUUACGUGCUCAAGGAUCCAGUUUCACCUAUGGAAUGAGAAAGUUGGGGAAGAAGUCAUCUAGCGUCUUGCUACUCAAAGUGUGGUCCAUGGACCAGCAGCAUCAGCAUCACCUGGGAUCUUCUUGGAAGAAAUGUAGAAACUCAGGCCUCACCCCAGAAUCUGCCUUUUUAUAAGACCCCCAGGUGGGCCAGUACACAGAUUUCCAUCAGUGACAUAUUUGAAAAUUCACUUUAUAAAUGCAGAAGCUGUUGUGAAGGCAGAGCAGCAUCUGCUGAAGAGACAGAAACCAGCCCCAGAGGUGUCACAGGAAGGCACCAGCAAGGACAUUGGUCUUUGAUUUGAUUCAGCAGUCCUGUCAAGUAUAAAUCUUCCUGAAAAGAGUAUGGCAGUUAUUAACGAUCCCCAUUAUAAAGAGGAGGAAUUUGAGACCCAGUGAAACUAAAUCACUUUUUCAAGUCAGGAACAGUCAUAGUCUAAGAUUCCCGGCUGGUCUUUGUCUUUCCUCUACACCACAUUGCCACCCUCUGGCACCUCCAAUGGUGGCAAAGCAGGAAUGACUAUAGCUGCACUGUUCAAUAUGAUAGCCACUAACCACAUUCUGGUACUGAGCAUAUGAAAUGUGGCUAGUCCCAAUUGAGAUGUGCUGUGAGUGUGAAAUAUACACCAAAUUUCUAAGACUUGGAAUGAAAAACAGAAUGUAAAAUGUCUCAUCAAUACUUUAUAUAUUGAUUGCAUGUUGAAAUGAUAUUUUUAAUAUUUUGAGUUAAAUAAAAGUAAUAAGUAUAAAUAUAUUAAUAAAUAUUACCAAAUAUGGUUUAAUAAAAUUAAUUUCACCUGUUUCUUUUUACUUAUUAAUAUGAUAAUAAAAAACAUAAAGUU
rnacentral:lncRNA from 10 species